GACGUAGGGGGCGAGCGUUGUCCGGAAUCAUUGGGCGUAAAGAGCGUGUAGGCGGCCCGAUAAGUCCGCUGUGAAAGUCCAGGGCUCAACCCUGGAAUGCCGGUGGAUACUGUCGGGCUCGAAUCCGGAAGAGGUGAGUGGAAUUCCUGGUGUAGCGGUGAAAUGCGCAGAUAUCAGGAGGAACACCAAUGGCGAAGGCAGCUCACUGGGACGGUAUUGACGCUGAGACGCGAAAGCGUGGGGAGCAAACAGG
rnacentral:rRNA from 1 species